rnacentral:rRNA from 1 species
CACCAAGCCUUCGAUGGAUAGGGGUUCUGAGAGGAAGGUCCCCCACAUUGGAACUGAGACACGGUCCAAACUCCUACGGGAGGCAGCAGUGAGGAAUAUUGGUCAAUGGGCGCUAGCCUGAACCAGCCAAGUAGCGUGAAGGAUGAAGGCUCUAUGGGUCGUAAACUUCUUUUAUAUAAGAAUAAAGUGCAGUAUGUAUACUGUUUUGUAUGUAUUAUAUGAAUAAGGAUCGGCUAACUCCGUGCCAGCAGCCGCGGUAAUACGGAGGAUCCGAGCGUUAUCCGGAUUUAUUGGGUUUAAAGGGAGCGUAGGUGGACUGGUAAGUCAGUUGUGAAAGUUUGCGGCUCAACCGUAAAAUUGCAGUUGAUACUGUCAGUCUUGAGUACAGUAGAGGUGGGCGGAAUUCGUGGUGUAGCGGUGAAAUGCUUAGAUAUCACGAAGAACUCCGAUUGCGAAGGCAGCUCACUGGACUGCAACUGACACUGAUGCUCGAAAGUGUGGGUAUCAAACAGGAUUAGAUACCCUGGUAGUCCACACAGUAAACGAUGAAUACUCGCUGUUUGCGAUAUACAGUAAGCGGCCAAGCGAAAGCAUUAAGUAUUCCACCUGGGGAGUACGCCGGCAACGGUGAAACUCAAAGGAAUUGACGGGGGCCCGCACAAGCGGAGGAACAUGUGGUUUAAUUCGAUGAUACGCGAGGAACCUUACCCGGGCUUAAAUUGCAGUGGAAUGAUGUGGAAACAUGUCAGUGAGCAAUCACCGCUGUGAAGGUGCUGCAUGGUUGUCGUCAGCUCGUGCCGUGAGGUGUCGGCUUAAGUGCCAUAACGAGCGCAACCCUUAUCUUUAGUUACUAACAGGUCAUGCUGAGGACUCUAGAGAGACUGCCGUCGUAAGAUGUGAGGAAGGUGGGGAUGACGUCAAAUCAGCACGGCCCUUACGUCCGGGGCUACACACGUGUUACAAUGGGGGGUACAGAAGGCAGCUAGCGGGUGACCGUAUGCUAAUCCCAAAAGCCUCUCUCAGUUCGGAUCGAAGUCUGCAACCCGACUUCGUGAAGCUGGAUUCGCUAGUAAUCGCGCAUCAGCCACGGCGCGGUGAAUACGUUCCCGGGCCUUGUACACACCGCCCGUCAAGCCAUGGGAGCCGGGGGUACCUGAAGUACGUAACCGCAAGGAUCGUCCUAGGGUAAAACUGGUGACUGGGGCUAAGUCGUAACAAGGUAGCCGUACCGGAAGGUGCGGCUGGAACACCUCCUUUCU